GACGAACGCUGGCGGCGUGCCUAAUACAUGCAAGUCGAACGCAGUGGGGACGGGUGAGUAACACGUGGGUAACCUCCCAUCAGAGGGGAUAACACUUGGAAACAGGUGCUAAACCGAUACUGAUGGAUGGACUCGCGGUGGAUUAGCUAGUUGGUGGGGUAACGGCUCACCAAGGCCACGAUGCCUAGCCGACCUGAGAGGAUGAGCAGCCACACUGGGACUGAGACACGGCCCAGACUCCUACGGGAGGCAGCAGUAGGGAAUCUUCCGCAAUGGACGAAAGCCUGAUCGAGCAACGCCGCGUGAGUGAAGAAGGUUUUCGGAUCGUAAAGCUCUGUUGUUAGAGAAGCGGUAUCUAACCAGAAAGCCACGGCUAACUACGUGCCAGCAGCCGCGGUAAUUC
rnacentral:rRNA from 1 species